rnacentral:ncRNA from 1 species
CAGAGUAGAAAACCGUGCGUUAAGUGCGCAGUGUACGGAGAGUUGGCACUGCGACGAAAAGCGUUAAAGCGCUUGCGGUACGGCUUUCGCAUCUCGCUG